rnacentral:rRNA from 1 species
GACGAACGCUGGCGGCGUGCCUAAUACAUGCAAGUAGAACGCUGAAGGAGGAGCUUGCUCUUCUGGAUGAGUUGCGAACGGGUGAGUAACGCGUAGGUAACCCGCCUGGUAGCGGGGGAUAACUAUUGGAAACGAUAGCUAAUACCGCAUAAUAGUAGAUGUUGCAUGAUAUUUACUUAAAAGGUGCAAUUGCACCACUACCAGAUGGACCUGCGUUGUAUUAGCUAGUUGGUGGGGUAACGGCUCACCAAGGCGACGAUACAUAGCCGACCUGAGAGGGUGAUCGGCCACACUGGGACUGAGACACGGCCCAGACUCCUACGGGAGGCAGCAGUAGGGAAUCUUCGGCAAUGGACGAAAGUCUGACCGAGCAACGCCGCGUGAGUGAAGAAGGUUGUCGGAUCGUAAAGCUCUGUUGUAAGAGAAGAACGAGUGUGAGAGUGGAAAGUUCACACUGUGACGGUAUCUUACCAGAAAGGGACGGCUAACUACGUG